UGCAGUACGGUUUAUAUUCUUCUUUUAUGGCAAGCUUCGUGUACACCAUCCUAGGAUCCUGCAAAGAUGUGCCAGUUGGACCAACAGCGAUCAUCGCAAUCUUAACUAGGGAAACAUUACAAAAAUCUGACUUAGGACCCAACUUUGCAGUCCUCUUAACCUUCAUAUCUGGUUGUGUGUGUUUGCUGAUGGGAAUCAUACAAUUAGGUUUUUUGUUGGACUUCAUAUCAGGACCAGUUUUGAUUGGUUUCACAUCCGCAGCAGCGAUUAUUAUUGCCACGAGCCAAAUAAAGGACAUUCUAGGCAUCAGUAUCAGCGGUAGCAAGUUCUUAGAAGUGUGGCAAAGGAUAUUCGAAAAAAUUGGGGAAACAAAACUUUGGGACACUGCGCUGGGGAUCACGUGCAUAAUUGUCCUGCUUCUUCUCAGAGUUAGUAUCACUUAAAUACAAUUACCAUAGAUUAGAGAUAAAACGUGUAAAAGCAAUUUUGUAUUAAAGUUUGUUCCGGAAAUAAGAUUUACCUAAUUUAAACUUUAUGAGUAAUAAGAACUUCUAAUUGAAUACACUUAAACUUUAAAAUUUCUUUAACCUCUUGAAGGAUAUUAACAAACUUCCGGUUGCGGACAAAAGGGAACAGUAUAAUUAUGAAUAGAUUUUAUAAUAAUAUUUUAUCGAAACAUUAAAAGAUGAAAAUAUUACUUUAUAGGGAGGACUUGGUUAGGAGGAGUGGUGUGGUGUGUAUGGGUGGCGAGUGCUAUGAGUGUUAAAAGCAAUUUAAGUAAUAAGAAAGCGAUAGGUAUACACAUGGAGUAAAAGAAUUAGGUAGAGUAUAAGGGGGAGAGGAAGGGUACGUAAAGGCGAGGUCUAAUGUAAAGAAAUAGGGGUGUUAGGGGUGUAAUUCUGCGGGUCAGACGAUUGUCUGAUAGGUAGAGGUUAUGGGUAACGACGGCCGUAGAGCAGGACAAGAGAGCUCAGACGAAGAGGAAACAGUAGGUAAAGCAGGAGGGGCGCCCAACAAACGCCGAAAAAACAGCGAAACACGAGAACGAGAAGGAGAGAAUGGAGGAAUAUAUAACGAGAGGUAGGAAAGAGAUAGUGGAGGACAGGAGGUAGGCCACGGCGGGAAAUGCAUGCAAUGAAGAAAUAUUGAAAGUAUUAGCAGGAUUGGUUGAAGAAAUAAGAGGUCUAAAAGACGAAAUGCGUACAAAUAAUAAUAGGAUAACGGAAGAAAUGAGGGAAAAAGAAAUAGGAUGGGAGUUAAAAGUAAAAGGAAUGGAGAAAAGAAUGAUGGAUGUGGAAAGCAAAGUAGAGCGGAUAAGUGGGAAAGGGAAACAGCUACUUGAACUCAGAACAGGAAAGAAGGGAAUUGGAGGAAAAUAUUAAGGCAGUAGUGGUUAAUAAGGUUGAAAAAGAGAUGGGUGGGGAAGUGGUAAAGAUAAGAGGGUGGAUCGAAAAACAUGAAAAAAUGGAACGGAGAAAUAAUGUAGUAAUAAAGGGUCUAGAGAUACGGCAAGGAAAUGUAAAAACGCAAAUUGAAGAUUUUCUAGAGAAAGAAUUAAAAGUAAGAAGGAAGAUAAGUUGGGUGAAAGAAAUCGGUAGGAAGGAAAGGUGUGUAUUAAUAGUGGGAUUGGAAAGUUGGGAGGACAAGCAGGAGAUCAUGAGAUACAAAGAUAGGUUAGGAGGCACAAAGGUCUUCAUAGAUCACGAUUUAACGAGACAUGAGAGAGAAAUUCAAAACAAGCUAGUAGCAAUCGCCAGGGAAGAAAAAAGAAAAGAGAGGGAGGUGAAGGUAGGAUACCAAAAAAUAAGGGUGGAUGGGAGAUGGGCCCUUGCCCAAUGGCAGGAAAGUUGGGCAACAGUACCAGUUAGUCAGGUUUUUUAAUAAAUUUUCAGCCAGGUGGGCAAAUAAAUAGGAGAGGGGAGGGGGUGUUAAACAGGGAGAAGGCAGGGGAAUUGAAAGUAUUAUUCUGGAAUGUAGCUAGAAUAGGAAAGAAAGAUCAAAGUUUUGGCAAUAUGUGGAAAAGUUUGAUUGUAUAGGCAUGGUAGAAACGUGGAUGGAGGAAACACAUUGGAACAAGUUUAAAAGUAGCCUAUCAAAGGAUUUUGUAUGGAAGUGUCGAGGGGCAAAGAAGGUAAAUAGGAAAGGUAGAGCGAGAGGGGGAAUAAUAACAGCGGUGAGAAAAAACUUAGACAUAGAAUGUGGAAAUAGCGAAAUAGAGGGUUUAAUAGAAAGGAGGAUGAAAAUUGAAGAUAGAACAUGGAGGAUUUUUUCGGUUUACAAUGGUCAACAGUGGAAGAAAUUGGCAAGGAAGAUGGAAGAAGUGAUUAAAGAAGAGGAAGA